UACGUAGGGGGCAAGCGUUGUCCGGAAUUAUUGGGCGUAAAGAGCGUGUAGGCGGUCCGAUAAGUCGGCUGUGAAAGUCCAGGGCUCAACCCUGGAAAGCCGGCCGAUACUGUCGGACUAGAGUCCGGAAGAGGCAAGUGGAAUUCCCGGUGUAGCGGUGAAAUGCGCAGAUAUCGGGAGGAACACCAAUUGCGAAGGCAGCUUGCUGGGACGGUACUGACGCUGAGGCGCGAAAGCGUGGGGAGCAAACAGG
rnacentral:rRNA from 1 species